rnacentral:rRNA from 1 species
AACGAACGCUGGCGGCAGGCUUAACACAUGCAAGUCGAGCGCCCCGCAAGGGGAGCGGCAGACGGGUGAGUAACGCGUGGGAACGUGCCCUUUGGUUCGGAACAACUCCGGGAAACUGGAGCUAAUACCGGAUAAGCCCUUCGGGGGAAAGAUUUAUCGCCAAAGGAUCGGCCCGCGUCUGAUUAGCUAGUUGGUGAGGUAAUGGCUCACCAAGGCGACGAUCAGUAGCUGGUCUGAGAGGAUGAUCAGCCACACUGGGACUGAGACACGGCCCAGACUCCUACGGGAGGCAGCAGUGGGGAAUAUUGGACAAUGGGCGCAAGCCUGAUCCAGCCAUGCCGCGUGAGUGAUGAAGGCCUUAGGGUUGUAAAGCUCUUUGUCCGGGAAGAUAAUGACUGUACCGGAAGAAUAAGCCCCGGCUAACUUCGUGCCAGCAGCCGCGGUAAU